GUCCCGGCUAUGGCUGAGUGUUCAUGUGUCAGUGAGAGGAGGAGGUUGUGCUGCGCCGCUCUUUCCUCCCACUUUUUUUCCUCCUUCCCUCCAGUGUUUCCCUCCAGUUUCCUCCAGUCUUCUCUCCACCCAGAGGAGAGAAAAAGACCAAGCCAAUCAGCGCACAAGGACGAGAAUGUGGGCGUUCAAUUGGUCAGCCUUCUUGGUUUGGAUCGGCGAGGUCAUUUUGCUGACCUCGCUGACCGAAGCCGAGAUAUCAGAGGUCAAAGUUCACGGAUUGAAGGGGGUACUUAAAGAAAACGAAGAGAAGAGAUUGGCAACAGAAAACGGAUUAUCGGAGGAGUUUAAGGAGAUGGAAGUUCUUAUUUGGGUUCUUCCUUCCUCCUCCUCCUCCUCCUCCUCCUCCUCCUCCUCCUCCUCCUCCUCCUCCUCCUCCCCGAAGCAGUUAGAUUCAAUACAAGGGUCUGGCAAUAUCGCCCUUGAAUUUAGGUCACAUACGGACAGCCUCUUCCUAGACCUUCGACCGAACAGAGAGUUAUUGGGAGUUAAUUACCGUGGGAGUGGAGGAAGAGAGAGGGAGAGGGGAGGCUGUGAGUACCAUGGGGAGGUGAGAGGGGACCCAGUCUCCCUCGUGGCCUUAUCCGUCUGUGGGGGUUUGAGAGGCGCAAUAUUCACGUGGGGGCGGUGGCUUGAAGUGGCGCCCACACCUGACACCCACACCAUGAAAGGCCCACACCUGCUGACGGCACACCUGCAAAAACCGAACCACAGAUGCGGUGUGUCAAGCUUGGAUCAUCAUCAUCAUCAGCAGGAGGUUGAAGGGGGGUGAGAAAGAGGGUGGAGCGGUCACUGAGAGGAGAUGCAUUGUGGGUAAAGAAGAAUAGUAGUUUUGUUGAACUAGUAGUGAUAGUAGACCAUUCUUUGUACAGCAGUCUAACCUCCUCCUCCUCCUCCUCCUCCUCCUCCUCCUCUUCCUCCUCCUCCUCCUCCUCC